GGUAGCAGACACGUGGGAUUCGGGGAACAGAUCUGAAGGUUAGCCUUUCUGCCAUUAUAGAAGACGGAAGAGCUGUGGCAGCACCAGUCUGGUGUAUCUGCUUAGUGCCUGUGGGAUUGAUCAUGUGAAGUUUGAUCACAGGGGACUGUGCCUUGAUGACCUGAUGAUCCUAUGACCCACGCACCUACUCACGGAUGCCUGCAGUCCUUUUAGCAUUCUGUAUACCGCCUACUCUGCAACUCAGAGGAGACCAGGAAGUCUCAGGUUUCGGUGCUGCAGGUUGAAGCCAUGCUAAGAAUUCACUUUGCCACACAGCUGACCCUCUAUCCCAUAAAGCAUGAAUGUAUCAUUUCUCUGGAACUGAUUUUGAACAUUCUGAGUGUUCAUCCAGUGAACUCACACAGAGCCCCUGUUACGGCCUGUUUUGGGCACAGGGAACUCAGUUAACAAAACAUCUACCAUGAUGGAGAUAACUUUCCAACAGGAGCCUUAGAAAAACACAGAAAAAGAGCAUUUUCCAGAUUCACUAAUCCAUUACCUCAUCACAUGCAUCACAGAGGAGGACAAAUGUUCUUGGUCUCACUGACUUCAGUUCCUAUACCCCAUCCCUUAUUAGCCUCCUGGAUCAACACCCAAGUUUAUUAUCUGCCCACUCUGCUCCAUCAAUGUGUCUUAGUCCUCUUUCCAUUGCUGUGACAAUGUACCCGAGACAAACAACUUAAAAAGAGGGACGUGA